rnacentral:rRNA from 1 species
UACGUAGGGUGCGAGCGUUUAAUCGGAAUUACUGGGCGUAAAGCGUGCGCAGGCGGCGGCUCAAGUCAGGUGUGAAAUCCCCGGGCUCAACCUGGGAAUUGCAUUCGAUACUGGAUAGCUAGAGUUCGGCAGAGGGAAGCGGAAUUUCUGGUGUAGCGGUGAAAUGCGUAGAUAUCAGAAGGAACAUCAGUGGCGAAAGCGGCUUCCUGGACCAGAACUGACGAUCAGGCACGAAAGCGUGGGGAGCAAACAGG